AGAAGUCCAAAAUCAAGGUGACAGCAGGGCUGUGUUCCCUCCAGAGGUUCUAGGGGAGAAUCCUUCCUUGCUUCUCCCAGCUUCUGGUGGCUCCAGACAUUCCUUGGCUUGUGGCUGCAUCAUUCUCGUCAGUCUCUGUUUCCAUCUUCACACAGAUUUCUCCUCUGAUGUCUUUUCUACUCUCCUGACUCUUACGAAGAUUCAUGUCAUCUGGAUUUAGGGCCCUCCCAGACACAUCCCUGACUGCCUGUACGCUGCACAGAAGCCUCACUUCCUGUCCUUGGUCAGCUGCCACCAUCUUUACAGAGGAAAGAGCAUGUGCAAAGGCCCUGAGGUGGGAGUAUGGAGACCAAGGAAGGCAAGUGCCUGGGAUACAGUGAGAAAGGGGAAAGGAAGAGCUCAGGAGGAGGAGGGCAUCCGGUAAGGAUUCUGGCUUUCACUCUAGGUGAUAUGCAGGUCUAGCUAACUCCAAUUUUCACAGUCUGAUGAAUAAUUGUCCAACAAUUAAUAAUUGUCCAAUAAUGAUAAUAUGAUUGGCAUGCUCCUGGGUGCAUCUGAGUAGCUGGACAGCCAGAGGACUCGCCCCUGGGAGAUAAAGGUAUCACUGAUAUAUGGGAUAUCAUUUGCCAGAUGAGACAGUGAGAAAAUGCCUCUUCCAAGAUCCAGGCUCUCUGAAGAGCUAUCUUAUCUGUGAAAAUCCUCAGCACUACAAGGUGACCUCCAAGCAAGGAUUUUUAGAGAGAGG
rnacentral:lncRNA from 10 species